AGCUUUAUGCAGUGGCAGUAUCGUAGCCAAUGAGGUUUAUCUGAGGCGAGAUAAUUGAUAAUUGAAAACUUUUCCCAAUACCCUGCUGUGACGACUUGCAAUAUAGUCAGCAUUGGCAAUUUUUGACAGUCUAUAUGGAGA
ensembl:snRNA U4 U4 spliceosomal RNA